rnacentral:lncRNA from 1 species
CAUACCUACUAGGACGAAAAGCCUAAGUCACAUUGCUGCUGGCUGGGCACCAAAUGCUAACUAACUUCAUCUUCCAGGGACUGGACCUAUUGCUGCACAAUUUUCUCAGCCUCCACUAGCUGAAAGACUGCACAGCCUCUCUGUUAGGUCAGAAUUAGCUCAUGACAUGGGCAUGCUGAGCCAGAAAGUUGUAAAAGAAAGUCACAGAAAUACACUUGUGAAAAACUAAUAGAAGAUGAUGAUACAGAGAUGGAGAAAUAUGUGUGUUGUUAGUAAGAGAAACAGAGAGACCAAGCACAAAGGAAGAAAGAGACAUCUACAGAGGGAAACCAGAAAGGAAAAAAGAGAAUGGGCCAGUAGGGCAAGACUCCUGGACUACUCAGCAAACAGCCAGUCGCUCAGUCUAGACCCUGCAAAAUUGAAGAAGGAGCAGACUAGAAAUACAAUGGAGACCAUGUCUGUAAAUGUCUUUUAUGCCAUGUUUGGAUUGCUCAAAAAGAAGUAAUCUCUAGAGACCUGAAUCUUCUAAAUAGUACCACUCCUAGAAGAGGAGUCUUCAUUUUUCCCCUCAUAGAUAUGGCCAUGGAAGGCAAUGAAUGAGAAGCUCUUCCCUCCUAAGAGCAAGAAAACAAAGAUCAAAAAUCUCACUCCAAUACCCAGGCCAUGAGUCUUUGUUAUUCCAGCUGGCAUGAUGUUUGAUACAUACCACUUCCUACUGAUCUUG